rnacentral:rRNA from 1 species
UACAGAGGGUGCGAGCGUUGUCCGGAAUCACUGGGCGUAAAGGGCGCGUAGGUGGCGCUCCAAGUCCGUGGUGAAAGCUCGAUGCUCAACAUCGAGUCGGCCACGGAGACUGGAGGGCUCGAGCACUGUAGGGGCAGAUGGAAUUCCGGGUGUAGCGGUGGAAUGCGUAGAGAUCCGGAAGAACACCGGUGGCGAAGGCGGUCUGCUGGACAGUUGCUGACACUGAGGCGCGACAGCGUGGGGAGCAAACAGG